rnacentral:tRNA from 1 species
GACCCUGUAGCUCAACGGAUAGAGCGCCUGCCUUCUAAGCAGGAUGUUGGGGGUUCAAGUCCCCCCAGGGUCGCCA